GCACUACUGAAGAGUCCCACAAUAGGACGAAACGGUCGUCCAGUGC
rnacentral:hammerhead_ribozyme from 1 species